GUCCACGCCGUAACGAUGUCGACUAGCCGUUGGUCCUAUUUACAGGAUUAGUGGCGCAGCUAACGCAUUAAGUCGACCGCCUGGGGAGUACGGCCGCAAGGUUAAACUCAAAUGAAUUGACGGGGCCCGCACAAGCGGUGGAGCAUGUGGUUUAAUUCGAUGCAACGCGAAGAACCUUACCUACCCUUGACAUCCAGAGAAUCUGUUAGAGAUAGUGGAGUGCCUUCGGGAACUCUGAGACAGGUGCUGCAUGGCUGUCGU
rnacentral:rRNA from 1 species